GAUGAACGCUGGCGGCGUGCCUAAUACAUGCAAGUCGAGCGAACAGAUGCGGAGCUUGCUCCUCUGACGUUAGCGGCGGACGGGUGAGUAACACGUGGAUCCCCUACCUAUAAGACUGGGAUAACUUCGGGAAACCGGAGCUAAUACCGGAUAAUAUAUUGAACCGCAUGGUUCAAUAGUGAAAGACGGUUUUGCUGUCACUUAUCGAUGGUUCCGCGCCGCAUUAGCUAGUUGGUACGGUAACGGCUUACCAAGGCAACGAUGCGUAGCCGAGCUGAGAGGGUGAUCGGCCACACUGGAACUGAGACACGGUCCAGACUCCUACGGGAGGGAGCAGUAGGGAAUCUUACGCAAUGGGCGAAAGCCUGACGGAGCAACGCCGCGUGAGUGAUGAAGGUCUUCCGAUCGUAAAACUCUGUUAUUAGGGAAAAACAAAUUUGGAAGUAACUAUGCACGUCUUGACGGUAACUAAUCAGAAAGCCACGGCUAACUACGUG
rnacentral:rRNA from 1 species